AAGUCGGGCUAAUACCGCAUGUGAUCCUUCGGGAUUAAAGCCUUCGGGGCGCUAAAAGGGAGGGGCCUGCGUCUGAUUAGCUUGUUGGUAAGGUAAUGGCUUACCAAGGCGAUGAUCAGUAGCUGGUUCGAGAGGAUGAUCAGCCACACUGGAACUGAGAUACGGUCCAGACUCCUACGGGAGGCAGCAGUAAGGAAUCUUCCGCAAUGGACGAAAGUCUGACGGAGCAACGCCGCGUGCAGGAUGAAGGCUUUCGGGUCGUAAACUGCUUUUGUAUGGGAAGAUUAUGACGGUACCAUACGAAUAAGGACCGGCUAACUACGUG
rnacentral:rRNA from 1 species